GUGCUCACUUUGGCAGCACAUAUACUAAAAUAGGAAUGAUGCAGAGAAGAUUAGCAUGGGGCCCUGUGCAAGGAUGACAGGCAAAGUCAUGAAGUGUUCCAUAUUUUU
ensembl:snRNA U6 U6 spliceosomal RNA